rnacentral:rRNA from 1 species
UGCAAGUCGAGCGGACAGAAGGGAGCUUGCUCCCGGAUGUUAGCGGCGGACGGGUGAGUAACACGUGGGUAACCUGCCUGUAAGACUGGGAUAACUCCGGGAAACCGGAGCUAAUACCGGAUAGUUCCUUGAACCGCAUGGUUCAAGGAUGAAAGACGGUUUCGGCUGUCACUUACAGAUGGACCCGCGGCGCAUUAGCUAGUUGGUGGGGUAAUGGCUCACCAAGGCGACGAUGCGUAGCCGACCUGAGAGGGUGAUCGGCCACACUGGGACUGAGACACGGCCCAGACUCCUACGGGAGGCAGCAGUAGGGAAUCUUCCGCAAUGGACGAAAGUCUGACGGAGCAACGCCGCGUGAGUGAUGAAGGUUUUCGGAUCGUAAAGCUCUGUUGUUAGGGAAGAACAAGUGCGAGAGUAACUGCUCGCACCUUGACGGUACCUAACCAGAAAGCCACGGCUAACUACGUGCCAGCAGCCGCGGUAAUACGUAGGUGGCAAGCGUUGUCCGGAAUUAUUGGGCGUAAAGGGCUCGCAGGCGGUUUCUUAAGUCUGAUGUGAAAGCCCCCGGCUCAACCGGGGAGGGUCAUUGGAAACUGGGAAACUUGAGUGCAGAAGAGGAGAGUGGAAUUCCACGUGUAGCGGUGAAAUGCGUAGAGAUGUGGAGGAACACCAGUGGCGAAGGCGACUCUCUGGUCUGUAACUGACGCUGAGGAGCGAAAGCGUGGGGAGCGAACAGGAUUAGAUACCCUGGUAGUCCACGCCGUAAACGAUGAGUGCUAAGUGUUAGGGGGUUUCCGCCCCUUAGUGCUGCAGCUAACGCAUUAAGCACUCCGCCUGGGGAGUACGGUCGCAAGACUGAAACUCAAAGGAAUUGACGGGGGCCCGCACAAGCGGUGGAGCAUGUGGUUUAAUUCGAAGCAACGCGAAGAACCUUACCAGGUCUUGACAUCCUCUGACAACCCUAGAGAUAGGGCUUUCCCUUCGGGGACAGAGUGACAGGUGGUGCAUGGUUGUCGUCAGCUCGUGUCGUGAGAUGUUGGGUUAAGUCCCGCAACGAGCGCAACCCUUGAUCUUAGUUGCCAGCAUUUAGUUGGGCACUCUAAGGUGACUGCCGGUGACAAACCGGAGGAAGGUGGGGAUGACGUCAAAUCAUCAUGCCCCUUAUGACCUGGGCUACACACGUGCUACAAUGGACAGAACAAAGGGCUGCGAGACCGCAAGGUUUAGCCAAUCCCAUAAAUCUGUUCUCAGUUCGGAUCGCAGUCUGCAACUCGACUGCGUGAAGCUGGAAUCGCUAGUAAUCGCGGAUCAGC